rnacentral:rRNA from 1 species
UACGUAGGGGGCAAGCGUUGUCCGGAAUUAUUGGGCGUAAAGAGCGUGUAGGCGGCCAGAUAAGUCCGCUGUGAAAUCUCGAGGCUCAACUUCGAGCUGUCGGUGGAAACUAUCUGGCUAGAGUCCGGAAGAGGAGAAUGGAAUUCCUGGUGUAGCGGUGAAAUGCGCAGAUAUCAGGAAGAACACCCGUGGCGAAGGCGGUGGUCUGGGCCUGAACUGACGCUGAGGAGCGAAAGCCAGGGGAGCAAACGGG